UACGUAGGUGGCAAGCGUUAUCCGGAAUUACUGGGCGUAAAGCGCACGCAGGCGGCUUUUUAAGUUUGACGUGAAAACUCCUAGCUUAACUGGGAGAGGACGUUGAAGACUGGGAGGCUUGAGGUAAUGAGAGGGGUGCGGAAUUCCCGGUGUAGUGGUGGAAUGCGUAGAGAUCGGGAGGAACACCAGUGGCGAAAGCGGCACCCUGGCAUUGACCUGACGCUCAGGUGCGAAAGCGUGGGGAGUGAACGGG
rnacentral:rRNA from 1 species